UAGCUAGUUGGUGAGGUAAUGGCUCACCAAGGCGACGAUCCCUAGCUGGUCUGAGAGGAUGAUCAGCCACACUGGAACUGAGACACGGUCCAGACUCCUACGGGAGGCAGCAGUGGGGAAUAUUGCACAAUGGGCGAAAGCCUGAUGCAGCCAUGCCGCGUGUAUGAAGAAGGCCUUCGGGUUGUAAAGUACUUUCAGCGAGGAGGAAAGCUCAAGCGUUAAUAGCGCUUGGGUGUGACGUUACUCGCAGAAGAAGCACCGGCUAACUUCGUGCCAGCAGCCGCGGUAAUACGAGGGGUGCAAGCGUUAAUCGGAAUUACUGGGCGUAAAGCGUACGCAGGCGGUUUGUUAAGCGAGAUGUGAAAGCCCCGGGCUCAACCUGGGAACUGCAUUUCGAACUGGCAAACUAGAGUCUUGUAGAGGGGGGUAGAAUUUCAGGUGUAGCGGUGAAAUGCGUAGAGAUCUGAAGGAAUACCGGUGGCGAAGGCGGCCCCCUGGACAAGACUGACGCUCAUGUACGAAAGCGUGGGGAGCAACAGGAUUAGAUACCCUGGUAGUCCACGCCGUAACGAUGUCUACUCGGAUUUGGUGUCUUGAACACUGGGUUCUAAGCUAAGCAUUAGUAGACGCCUGGGGAGUCGGCCGCAGGUUAAACUCAAUGAAUUGACGGGGGCCGCACAGCGGUGAACAUGUGGUUAAUUCAUGCACG
rnacentral:rRNA from 1 species